UGGGGAAUAUUGGACAAUGGGCGAAAGCCUGAUCCAGCCAUGCCGCGUGUGUGAAGAAGGUCUUCGGAUUGUAAAGCACUUUAAGUUGGGAGGAAGGGCAUUAACCUAAUACGUUAGUGUUUUGACGUUACCGACAGAAUAAGCACCGGCUAACUCUGUGCCAGCAGCCGCGGUAAUACAGAGGGUGCAAGCGUUAAUCGGAAUUACUGGGCGUAAAGCGCGCGUAGGUGGUUUGUUAAGUUGGAUGUGAAAUCCCCGGGCUCGACCUGGGAACUGCAUUCAAAACUGACUGACUAGAGUAUGGUAGAGGGUGGUGGAAUUUCCUGUGUAGCGGUGAAAUGCGUAGAUAUAGGAAGGAACACCAGUGGCGAAGGCGACCACCUGGACUAAUACUGACACUGAGGUGCGAAAGCGUGGGGAGCAAACA
rnacentral:rRNA from 1 species